rnacentral:rRNA from 1 species
CCAGACUCCUACGGGAGGCAGCAGUGAGGAAUAUUGGUCAAUGGGCGCGAGCCUGAACCAGCCAAGUCGCGUGAGGGAGGACGGCCCUACGGGUUGUAAACCUCUUUUGCCGGGGAGCAACGGGCGUCACGUGUGGCGCCACUGAGAGUACCCGGAGAAAAAGCAUCGGCUAACUCCGUGCCAGCAGCCGCGGUAAUACGGAGGAUGCGAGCGUUAUCCGGAAUCAUUGGGCGUAAAGAGUUCGUAGGUGGCACGUUAAGUCUGGUGUUAAAUGCAGAGGCUCAACCUCUGUUCGGCACUGGAUACUGGCGAGCUUGAAUGCGGUAGAGGUAAAGGGAAUUCCUGGUGUAGCGGUGAAAUGCGUAGAUAUCAGGAGGAACAUCGGUGGCGUAAGCGCUUUACUGGGCCGUAAUUGACACUGAGGAACGAAAGCCAGGGUAGCAAAUGGGAUUAGAUACCCCAGUAUG